UACGGGGGGGGCAAGCGUUGUUCGGAAUUACUGGGCGUAAAGGGCUCGUAGGCGGCGAAGUAAGUCGGACGUGAAAUCCCUCGGCUUAACUGGGGAACUGCGUCUGAUACUGGAUGGCUUGAGUUUGGGAGAGGGAUGCGGAAUUCACGGUGUAGCAGUGAAAUGCGUAGAUAUCGUGAGGAAGACCAGUGGCGAAGGCGGAUCUCUGGGCAGUUCCUGACACUGAGGCACGAAGGCCAGGGGAGCAAACGGG
rnacentral:rRNA from 1 species